rnacentral:lncRNA from 1 species
GCCUCCCGAGUAGCUGGGAUUACAGGCGCGGGCCACUACGCCCGGCUAAUUUUUGCAUUUUUUUUCAAGAUGAAGCCCCCCCGCACAGUGCUCUAGUCCCCGGAGGGGCCAUCAGCUCCAGGGAACGUGUAAAGUGCUUUGUGGCUUUAAUAACGCGGUGGGGGAAGGCGGGCGCUUGCUGGUGUGUAAUGUCUGCCGGGGGAGAUGGAAGUCUGCAAUUGCAGGAGGAAACUCGGUCUCCGCACAGCUGCCCAGUGGAGGUUCAGCCGUGAAGGGUCCCGAGAGCCCGCGGUCUGGGCCCAGAUGUUCAAAGCAGACUCUUCAUAGCUGCUCAGGUGUCCACAAACGAUCGACAGAUAAGCCCAGCGUGGCCCUCCACACCAGGGAACAGGAUUCCACCAGGAAAAGAAUGAGGCCCGCACGGCUGCAGGGGGUGAGCCUGGAGAAUGGCGAUGGGGGACAGAAGCCAGACACACAGCCCCGACUGUGGAGAGCGUUUGGAACCAGACGGGAGUGAGGGUCACUCAACAUCGCAAAUGGACUAAAUGCUACCGAAUUGUACGCUUUAAAACGGUUCAUUUUAUGUGAUGUGAAUUUCAGCUCAAUAAAGAAAAAAGAUUUAAAAUGUGUCUUGAGGAGCCACGAG